rnacentral:rRNA from 1 species
GUCGCAAACCGGCGACGGUAAGCUAAUCUCUUAAAACUUCUCUCAGUUCGGACUGGAGUCUGCAACUCGACUCCACGAAGGCGGAAUCGCUAGUAAUCGCGAAUCAGCAUGUCGCGGUGAAUACGUUCCCGGGUCUUGUACACACCGCCCGUCAAAUCAUGGGAGUCGGAAGUACCCAAAGUCGCUUGGCUAACUUUUAGAGGCCGGUGCCUAAGGUAAAAUCGAUGACUGGGAUUAAGUCGUAACAAGGUAGCCGUAGGAGAACCUGCGGCUGGAUCACCUCCUUUCUAAGGA